GGGGGUGUAGCCCAGCUGGGAGAGCACCUGCUUUGCACGCAGGGGGUCAGGAGUUCGAUUCUCCUCAUCUCCACCA
rnacentral:tRNA from 1 species